GUGAGGGUUGUGGCAUGCGUUGCCUUGUCGCUAUUCCCAGGAUGUGAAUGGUGCGUCCAUCUCAAACCAGGAGUCGACAUUGGGGCAUCGUCGUAAGACAAUGCACCGAGGUCACUAAGGAAGGGUGUACC
rnacentral:SRP_RNA from 1 species